rnacentral:lncRNA from 1 species
ACGAAAGCAAUUGGACCGGGCAAAGCAACCAAGUUAAAAUGCUUUUGCAAAUCAUGAUGAUGAGAGCUCAAAAACCGUUGGCAAUUUGCAUCGGCCCAUUCCGAGAGCUAAACAACGAAGCAUGUUUGAUAACUAUGAAAGGAGCUUACUCAUAUGCAUCUUUAAUGAUGCAAAAAUACUUAAAGGCUUGAUCAACACAUCAUAUAACAUAUACAAAGCUGUAUAUGUAUAGCAAAUAAAUAAUAAUAUAUAUGUAGAAAAUCCAAGCACCACUAUUGACCAUAUAGAUAAGUCACCAAUAAAAUCAGUGUUUUCAA